ACAUGAAAUUCAAUUUCAUUCAUCCAAAACCUUUUUUGUCAAACCAGUGCCAAGUAUUUCCAAGCUCCUGGCAACACCUGCCAGACAGAGCAGGAGAAAUAGCGAGUUGUCUUCCCAGUUCAAGGCAGCGAGGGGGAAGAACACCUCCUGUCCUGGGAAGGAGAGUCUCCAGAGGUGAUUCACUUCAAUUUCCUCUAAUGAAUAUCAGAUCUAUAUUAACACACACUGCUCUCUGAUUAUCUUUCAGCUGUCUUCUUGGACUGAACUCGGGCCCUGCAAACUGGCCAGUGUUAGCCGCCUGGUGGAGGCCGUUUGCAACCAGCUCUGCGUCUUCACCCGGUGGCCAUGUCAUUUAGAGGGACCGUGAGGACUUGGUGGUCUUUCAUUCUCAAGGAUUAUGUGGCCAUCAGAGAGGCAGUGCUGGCCAGCCUGAGGUUGAUGGCUCAGACCAACAUCCAGCUCUUUGAAUUGAAUUGAGGACUCAGUGCUGCUGGCCAGACUCUCCCUUCAGCAAAGGGUCUGUCCUUGGUACAGGUGGGACAAGAACAGCCCUUUAACUUCAAUGUCCCGGAGGAGCAGCCUGGGCCCUCAUCCAGUACUGGUCCUCCCCUCGCUCCAGCCACCUCCUCUGCCUGGACUCCCUGUACCCAGGACCAGAACGUACAGGAAGAGGAAGGCGGCCCGAAGCUGCUGUGGCAGAGCGGGGGCCGCUGCCUGGAGGAAAAACCCCUCCGGCUGCCAACAUCAUACAUCUGCAGCAAGUGUGGCCAACCCAGAAGGAUUGACAAUGACCUCACUCUCAUUGCAGGUGUGUCACACUGUGUGACUGUUGGUGGAAAGACUGUGGAGGGAAGAGAUGAAGAGAAGACAGGACAAUGUUUUCUGUCUUCAUUUAUAACUUUUUAAAAAAGUCCCAAAAAACUCACAUCAUGUGCUGUGGUACAGUGGAUGGAUGUGCAUUGGUUGAGAAACUAAGGUCAUCACAUGACUCACUAUCACAAGGUGAGGAGCCCUGAAGAGAGUUCAUCAGUUUCACCUGAACCUCAAGUUCCAUUAGUAAGUUAUAGAAGUUUAUGGUGCUGCAGUGACUCAGUGUCGCCUCUUGAGGAACAAAGUGGUGUUACAAGAUGAGACGGACUGUUCAGGACAUCUAGCAGCAGUUACACAGUAACCCCAUUACUAUUCUGUUCAAAGGAAUGUAUUUUAUUAAGCAUUGCUAUAUAUUGGAUAAAGUUUAAAUAAAGGGCUGAUUUGUUUAAGCAUUUGUAAGUGUCCUUGAUUUGUAGUUUUAAUUCAUAUAUAUGUAUUAGGUGAACCUAGAUGAAACUAAUGCAGUAUAAUGGAACAGGCCUGCAGUAAAUCCUCCUUCAUGAGGAUUAUAAUGUUCAGUAUUUACUGAAUCUGUUUGAGAAGUGUUGGUUUAUUUUAAUGGUCAUUGUGGAGGCUGCGAUUGUAAUUGUGGUAAUGUUUAAGUGUACUGGCAUAUGCUGAGAAGUGUUCCUAAUAUUUUGUCAAAUUUAAUUCCUAAAAAUGGGAUGGACAAAAUAUUAGGAACACCUCUCAGUAUAUAGGGUUAGUUUAUAUAUGAUGGUGUCCAGAAACAGCAUUUCGCGCAAAAUAGAAACCAAAGUGAAG